rnacentral:lncRNA from 1 species
UGGUCUUUCAAGAGAGUAUAAUCUCUUUCCUGUUUUGCAGCGACCACUCUAUAAUGCCGCGACCAUGCUCAGCUGUGCUGCUAUAGCUGAAAUCAUUUCUGCAGCAACCUCUCGGAAAUACCUUGAAGAAGAAGCCUGGAUGGUUCCUUUGAACAUUCUCAGAGGGUCAGCCUCAUUGACAGCAUUACAGGAAGGCUUCGAGGUGUCUCCUUGUGACCAUGUUGUGAAUGAACCAUCCCCGGCAUCUCACCUUGCAGGUGAGGAGGCUGCAUCCUAACGAUGGACAACUUUAAAAAAUAUUUGAAGAUCCCAGCCUCGAGUCACCAAGGGGAAAAGUGGCGAUCGGAUCCGGCCA